AUUGAACGCUGGCGGCAGGCCUAACACAUGCAAGUCGAGCGGCAGCGGGAAAGUAGCUUGCUACUUUUGCCGGCGAGCGGCGGACGGGUGAGUAAUGCCUGGGAAAUUGCCCAGUCGAGGGGGAUAACAGUUGGAAACGACUGCUAAUACCGCAUACGCCCUACGGGGGAAAGCAGGGGACUUUCGGGAUUUGCGCGAUUGGAUGUGCCCGGGUGGGAUUAGCUAGUUGGUGAGGUAAUAGCUCACCAAGGCGACGAUCCCUCGCUGGUACGAGAGGAGGAUCAGGCACACGGGAACAGAGACACGGUCCAGAGUCCUACGGGAGGCAGCAGUGUGGAAUAUUGCACAAUGGGGGAAACCCUGAUGGUGCCAUGCCGGGUGUGUGAAGAAGGCCUUCGGGUUGUAAAGCGCUUUCAGCGAAGAGGAAAUAUGGAUACCUUAUACGUAUCAACUGUGACGUUACUCGCAGAAGAAGCACCGGCUAACUCCGUGCCAGCCGCCGCAGUAAAAC
rnacentral:rRNA from 1 species